ensembl:snRNA U6 U6 spliceosomal RNA
GUGCUUGCUUCCAAAGCAUGUGCACUAAAGUUGGAACAAUACAGAGAAGAUUAGCAUGACUCCUGUGAAAAUUUGUGAAGAGUCCCAUAUUUUU